rnacentral:rRNA from 1 species
AGAGUUUGAUCMUGGCUCAGAAUGAACGCUGGCGGCGCGCCUAAUACAUGCAAGUCGAGCGAGAAGACGUAGCAAUACGUUUGUAAAGCGGCGAACGGGUGAGGAAUACAUGGGUAACCUACCCUUGAGUGGGGAAUAACUAGCCGAAAGGUUAGCUAAUACCGCGUACGCUCCUUGGACUUCGGUUCAGGGAGGAAAGCGCUACCAUGGGUAGCGCGCUCUUGGAUGGGCUCAUGUCCUAUCAGCUUGUUGGUGAGGUAACGGCUCACCAAGGCUUCGACGGGUAGCUGGUCUGAGAGGACGAUCAGCCACACUGGCACUGCGACACGGGCCAGACUCCUACGGGAGGCAGCAGUAAGGAAUAUURCGCAAUGGGCGAAAGCCUGACGCAGCGACGCCGCGUGGGGGAUGAAGGUCUUCGGAUUGUAAACCCCUUUCGGGAGGGAAGAUGGAAUGGGGUAACCCAUUCGGACGGUACCUCCAGAAGCAGYCACGGCUAACUUCGUGCCAGCAGCCGCGGUAAUACGAAGGUGGCAAGCGUUAUUCGGAUUUACUGGGCGUACAGGGAGCGUAGGCGGUUCGGUAAGCCCUCUGUGAAAUCUUCAGGCUUAACCUGGAACAGUCGGAGGGGACUGCUGGGCUAGAGGACGGGAGAGGAGCGCGGAAUUCCCGGUGUAGCGGUGAAAUGCGUAGAGAUCGGGAGGAAGGCCGGUGGCGAAGGCGGCGCUCUGGAACGUUUCUGACGCUGAGGCUCGARAGCGUGGGGAGCAAACAGGAUUAGAUACCCUGGUAGUCC